AUGGCGCGCUGCGGCGGCGGCGGCGGCGCCGCGCCCAGGGGCCCCGGUGCGGCGGCGGCGGCGGCGGAGCGGCAGCGGCUGAAGGAGGCGCUGGCCGAGCAGCUGCGGCAGGACCUGGGCAGGCUGCUGGCGGAGGGAACGCGCGCCGACGUGACGCUCCGCGCGGGCGGCGCGGCGCUGCGGGCGCACCGGGCGGUGCUGCUGGCGCGGGCGCCGCGGCUCUUCGGCGGCCUGGGCCUGGGCUGGUGCCGGGGGCGGCCGCCCGCGGCCUGCGAGCCGCUGCGGCUGGACGGCGUGGGGCCCGCCGAGCUCCGGCGCUUCCUGCGGCUUGUAUAUUCAUCUGAUAUAAAUCUUAAAGAAGCCGAAGAACUAGCUAUGAUGGAAAAAAUAUUGGGACCCAAAUUAAUACAAGAAAAUGAGAUUGCUGCUCUUCAGAACACUCAGAUAACAAAUGUAAAUUGUCUUGGAGAUGACAAAAGAACAACUACUAAGCAGAAUUCUCUAAGUGGAGCUAUGCUAAAAGAAGUCGCCUGUUCACCUUCUAUUGAAGAAGAAAUUCCAGGAGCCGAUGCAGAAAGCAAGAAAGCUACAGCAGGUAAUUCCAAGCUAGAAACUGCAUCUGUACUAGGAGAAGACUUAAUGAUGCUCUACAGGAAGUGUUGUUGUCCAGAUAUUACUAUUUGUGCAGAAGGCAAAGAGUUUCAAGCUCACAGGGCCAUUCUAUGUGCCAGAUCUAGAUACUUUGCUGCUAUGCUGAGUGGAAGUUGGGCUGAAAGCUCCCAAGAGCACAUCACUCUUCAAGGCAUAAACCAUGUAGAAAUGAGUGUCAUCUUGCAUUUUAUAUAUGGAGGUAUUCUGGACUUUCCAGACAAAGUUGAUGUUGGUCGCAUAUUGGGCAUUGCAGAUAUGUAUGGGCUAGAUGGGCUUAAAGAAGUAGCUAUCUACAUUUUGAAAAGAGAUUACUGCAAUUUUUUCCAAAAGCCUGUUCCUGGAAAGCAGCAACCUGUGCUAGAAUGUAUGGCUAUUGCUCAUUCAUUGGGAGUGGAAAACCUAUAUGCUGCCUGUAUGAAAUGGGUACAAAAACAUUUUGUGAAGUGUUUGUCUGAGAGAAGCUUUGCCAGUUUACCUGAUGAACUUCAGAACAACUGUCUUGUUAUGUUGAUUCAGUCUUUAAACCAUACGAAUGCUCCUUUGCUUUUGAUGGAAAGUGAUCGGCUGAUCAGUAGUCUUCCUCAAGUGAAAUGGACUGAGACAGCUUUUGCCUUGGCAUCUAGGCUACAAGAAGAAUGCAUAACGUUUAUUGUGGCAAACUUCCUACAUAUAGUACAAAGUGAAGGCUUCUAUAUUUUGUUGCAGGCACAGGCAAUGAGCAGCGAACCUGACCUUCUAGAACUAAUUUUUAAUGCAAUUGAAAGAAAUAUUAAUACUGAAAACAGCUGCUUGCUUCUUGUAGCUGUGGAUAUGUUGUUGAACUCCACAAAUGUGAAGGAGAUGGGUUUUACGUGCAAGAUCCAGGCUCUGCGUGAUAAGCUCUGGGUCUUCCUGGUUCAGUCUUUUUAUGCUGUUCGUCACACAGAAGGCUGGAAGCUGAUGAGGCCAGACCAUCAAGAAAAAAUAGAGGCAGCGGCUUUUGACAAGGGUGAUAAUCGAAGACUUAGCAAAAAACCUGUAUUCACUAGUUCUCAGCUAAACAAAUCCGCAGGUGAAUCAGUUGGUAUAAAGAAUACAUCCUGGACAGAACAAGGCAGGAAAGAUUGCUGGGGAAAUACUUCCACUAAUCAGGAUAAAAUGAAAUCUGACGGAUUAGGAGCAUCUGGACAUACAUCAAGCACCAACAGAAACACCACUAAUAAAGCUUCAAAGAAUGAGGAUGUAAAGGGAAAAGAUGGCAAAAAAACAGUUUCCAAAAUUACUAAAGAUUCAAAACCUGGAGAAAAAGUUGCUUCACCAAAGGCUAGAGCUGUUAUAAAGCCAAAAAUAGAAAAUAAUGGAAAUGUAAAAGCUGAAAGCAUGCUUACCAAGCAAGACGUUGAAAAGACCUCAUCUGCAAGUGGACAGAAAAAUUCAGGAAGUGGCAAAGGACUAAAGAACCAAGAAGGAAAAACUGCAGGUGCUAGACCUAAAAUGCUGACUGGAACCUCAAGUGCGCAGAUCAAAUCAAAGCCAUUGAAAAAAAACACAGGAAAGGAAUCUCCUUCCUCUUUAACUGGGGCAGGAACUUCCAGCAAAUCAACAAAUUCAAACAUAGAUAUCCAGCCUGCCAGUGAGCAGACAGAAGAACCCAAAGAGCAUAAAUUGGUGGAAGAAGAAAAAAUAUAUACUGUGAAAACAAAGUUGUCUUUGAAGACAUCAAAUGGACUUACCAGCAAAAAAAAAAAGACUGAGCUUGAGACUAAUGCUGCAGCAAGCAGUGUGGCAAAAAAAUCAACUGUAAAAGUGUGUAAUGAACAAAAUGUACAAGCAGCUCUGAAGAGAAAAGGCACUAUGAGUAGCAAUUCUGCAAUUCAGCAGAAGGCACAGAACACACCUACCAAUUCUCCCCAAAACCAAGGAUCUCAGGGAGGAUCACCAAAUUCACUGAAAUCAGGAAUGUCUCUGAAACAAAAUGAAGAAAAAUAUGUGAUACAACAUCUGGUUAAGACAACACUUUCAGAAAAACAUCCUUCAACUAAAAAAAAGAGUGUUAAACAGAUGCAAACACCUGUAGCAAAAGCCACUGCAAAAAUAACACCUAAAACUCAGACUCAGUCAAAGCAUAGUGAGAAUAUGAACAAUAAAGACCCAAAACUGAAAACAGCUGGGCAAUCUGCAUUAAAAUCACAGUCCUCUGCCCAAAAACAUUCAAGAAGUGAAUCUCCUGUUGUCCAGAAGACUAUGCACAACUCUGAGCACAGAACUUCAGGACAGAAACUGGAAAAACAUACGGCUGAUGCUGUGGCAGUUCAGCUUCAGGAAAAUAAUGAAUACUGUUCUGCAAAGCAAAAUGAGUAUUUGAACUCUUUGAAGGAAGACAGCAAAGAAGAUAUACUCUUGGAAUCCUGUCAACAUGAUAAACAAAAAUUAUUGAAUCCUCCCGACAGUGGGGAAUACAUAUUACAAUCUGAAUCACCUUCUCCUCUAAAUAUUGAACAAACUAUUCCUAAAACAAAUGUUUCAGUCCAAAAUGAAAUGGAAGCAAAACAAAUCUGCGGAGAUGCGACUGAAAUUGAACAGCUUAAAGAUGCAAGGAAAGAUGAUGAUGUUGCUGAAUUUCACUGUCUCACAGAGUGUGCUAGUGAUGGAUACUCAGACUUUUCCAAGGAAACUAAUCAAAAGGCAACUGCUUCAGGAGAAAAGAUGAAACAUUCAGAAGCAGCAGAAGUCUGGGCUGAACAAAGUAAUACAUUAAACACAGAAAUAGGUCUGAACUAUGGUGAAAACAUUUUACCAAGCUUUUCUAAAAGGAUAUCCACUAAAAAGAAUGAAAUAUCAUCUCAAAUUCAUAUGGAGGGAUUUCUGACAGCUGAUGAUUCAUGUGAUAGAUCAGCCUUGACUGAAUACAAAUCAGUUGCAGAAGAUUUAGAUGAUGUUUCAAAAUGUGCCGCAGAACAAGUAGCAGAAAAAUGUUCACCUAAUUACACAGAGCCUACAGAUGCUACAGAAAUGCCAAAAAAACAUGAAAAUGCAGAAAUCAUGGACCACUGGAGUACAGGGGCACUUGAUCCAAAAGAGAGUCCUGAGUCAGAUACUGGCAGUGCUACCACAUCCUCUGAUGAUAUAAAACCAAGAUCAGAAGAUUAUGAUGCUGGAGGCUCUCAGGAUGAUGAAGGAUCCAAUGAAAGAGGGAUUUCCAAAUGCAGCACUAUGUUAUGCCAUGAUUUUCUUGGAAGAAGCAGUAGUGACACAAGUACACCUGAGGAAUUAAAAAUUUAUGACAGCAGCCUAAGAAUAGAAGUGAAAAUGAAAAAAGAGGGUUCUGAUCUAUUCCGUGUUAAUUCAACAAGCGACGAUGAAAUACCAAGAAAAAGAUCUGAAAUCUGGUCACAUCAAGAAAGUGCAAAACGGACCAAUACUAGAGAAAAUGAAAGUUCUACUUUUGGCAAUGCCCAGUUUACUCAGGAAACAGACCAAGUUUCUUCUUCUGCUGAUGAAACAGAGGAUGACAGAUCUGAAGCAGAAAAUGUUGCAGAAAACUUUCCUCCAUCAGAUGUUCCUACUCAGCAGUUCCAAGGAAUUGAUAAUUUAGCUUUUGAAGAUGCAACAGAAAAUAAUACUGCAAGACAAGACUUUUCUAAAACUAAAAAUUUCAAACGAUCCAUUUUACUUUCAGUAGAUGAAUGUGAAGAAAUGGGAUCAGAUGAUAGAGCGGAAGCUCGUACAUCACGUCAGCAUUCAAUAGAUUCUCUUACUCCUUCAGAUGUAUUCGACAGUGUUUCUCAUGAGCAUCACGGAACGACUUUUUAUUCAAGAUAUUCACUGGAAAUUGAAGAUGGAUUCCUGGACUGCAAACAGCAUAAGGAUAGAGGCAACAGACUGGAUAACAGUGAAAGUUCUCUUCUUUGUGACACUGAAAUCCUAGGAAAGGAGAAUCAAGGUGCUUCAACGGCUGAACAAAACUGUCCAGAGAAGGUAUACUGUGCAGCAAGUCUGUGUCCACCAGCAGAAAAGCAAAAAGUAAAUACGAAGAAUGAAAUAGCUAGUGAAUUUCAACAGUGCAAUAAAUUCUUAGACAAUGAUGCAAAAUCUCAAGAACGACCAUGUCAUCUGGAUCUUCUUCACAGAGAUGCUAAUUCUGAUAUGCAAAAGAGCAGCUCUGCAAAACCUGUAGAACCCGAUAAGAAUCAAUUACUGACUCAGGAAAGUCAAGUGAGAGACAGUCAACCAGCAACUACUGAAUACGCUAAUACUGAUUUACUUCCAGGAGACAUAGAUGAUUAUGACACAAUGGCACAAACCUGCAUGUAUGAACAUCGACCUUCAAAAACCCUUUCUCCAAUAUAUGAGAUGGAUGUUGGAGAAGCAAUUGAGCAGAGGAUGGAUUCGGGAACAGCAGUUCUAGAUGUGGAUUUUGAAGAUCAGCAAUUUGCAGAACAGGAUUGGACUCUUCUCAGGCAAUUAUUAUCUGAGCAAGACUCAAAUAUAGGUUUCAAAAACUCUGUUCCUGAAGACCUUAACUUAGCACAAUGUCUUAUCAAUCAGACACUGUUUCUGGCACGAGAUGGUUCUAAUCCUCAGGGUUCAUCACAAGUUGACACUUUCAGUAGGUGGACUGAAAUAAUGUCUCCACUUGAAGAUUCUUCAGCAAGCAUUACAGUGGCAAGCUUUUCAUCUGAAGACUGUUCUUCCCCACAAGGGGAAUGGACAAUUCUUGAACUGGAAACCCAUCAUUAAGAUGAUCAAAUGUUUGCAACUGGACUCCAACCCAUUCCCCAAAUCUAUUUUUGAUGCGUUGUUUCCAUACAAUAAUGAAAUACUGCAUCAGUCAAGAACAAGAAAUUCUUGAAACUGAGGCAAUCUUUCUGAUAUAAGGAGAAAAUCUAAACCUUUGCAUGAGGAAUUAAGAACUGCUGUUAUGUUUUUCAUCUGUUGCUCAGAACCAGAACACUUAAGAAUGAGUAAUUUUGCUUCCACUAAUGUCAAAGUAAAACUCCUGUUGACCUCAGCUGAAGCAGGUUCAGGGCCUACCUAUAUGAAAUGCAUGCAAUUGAAAUGCUGUUUUUCCAAUAUGUGUGUUUCACAGUUCUCUCAGUUUUACUCUACUAGCAUGUAAUAUUGUACAAUUAUAGAUGUGAGAAAUUACAGCUAGAAAGACUUCAAUUUAAGAGUCAUAACUGUGUGCAUUCUGUUAAUAUUUCAUGAUGGGGGGUGAUUAACAGCUAUACACUGACAGAUGACAUUAUUAUUUCCUGGACCCAGCAGGAACUGAGGACAAAAGACAGAAUCAGAGGCAGAAGCUCUGUUAAAAUAGAUAUUUCAUGGAAAAGGGCUUUUAAAUUUGAAAUACUGUAUACUUAGCUUUUUAUUUCUUGCAGAAAAUCCUUAAUUUUUUCAGGUAUAUUUCUUGAACACAAGCUAUGGGUGCUAUUUUUGACAAAUAAGCAUCAGUAUGUUCCAUUCUGGAAGAAUUUCGGAUAAAAUCCAUUCUUUGAUUAAUUUAAAACUAAGCUUCCUGUCAGCAACUACAACAUGUAUUUGAGGGAACUAAACCUGCAGCAGUGAAGAAUUAUUUAUUUUAAAUGCGGAUAUCGACCGGGGAAAAAAAAUUGGUUUCCGUAACAACUUUUUUCUGCCUUUGAUAACUAAUAAGUGAAGAACCACAGAGUGCAUGUGUGUGCACACAUGCACAAAUAUGUUUAUUUUUUUGUGUUUGGCCAUCCUUUUAUACUUUGCUUUACAGUCUACACAAUAUAGUCAAUUAAGCAACAGUUCUGCAAACCUGUAAGCAUGUGAGUGAAUUUGCUUAAACAUUUGCAAGUUGGCUUUCAGGUUAACAAUCACUUCUCAGAAAGGGUAAUGGAACUGGCAUUGGGGGCAGGCAUUGUGCAUACUUGUGUUUUUAUAUAGUACUCAACUUAAUGAGGUUCUAAUCUUGAUGUACCAUCUGGAUGCAGUUAGAGUAUGAAAUGAUUAAUAAUGGAAUUCCAUUAAGUUGCUACCCUGCUCACCUUGAUUUAUUACUGAUCUUCCCCGCUCAGAAGAUAGUUCCAUUAGUGAAAUCAAAGCCCUGAGAAUGUAACUUUUUGCAUUAUGUACAGCAAAAGACUUUUUGCUAUUACACUGUUAAAUAUGAAUAUUGAUGUACAGGUCUUGAAUAACUGAAGCCUCAACUUUUUAGGAGAAUGGAGGAAGGGAGGACAUCAAAACUAGACACAGUUAACUAGGACAUUAGUAAUCAAAAUACUUUUCAUAUUUUAAAAGAGACUGAAGUGGAAUGGAGUGCAUGCACUGUCUAGUGAAUGUGAACAGAGGCUCGCACAUAUAAAUUCUGAACUGGAUGGUUGGUACUCACCUCCCAAUCAGCUGCAUGGGUGCAGCUGUGGGAGACUGAGCCCAAUGACACAGGUAGUCUGUCAGGUUUUACAUACAGGCAUACCAGUAAAAUCAAGUGGCUUUACAAAAAGUACUGAACUUCCUCAGCUCCCAGUGAAGUUUAACAUUUGUUAAAAUCAGCAUAUUUUUUAUACAAGUGUCUGAGCAGAAGGAAUGGUACCAGAAAUAAAAUUUUGGCUCAUGAGCUUAGUAAGGCUCUACCAAAACACUUAAAUUUUACAGGAUCCUCAUUUACACAGUCCUUAUUUAGUCCUCUUUGUGGUUCUAUUCUGAUCAGACAAAUAUGUGAUUUUCUUAAACUUGUGUUUAAUAAGUCAUUUUAAUUCUUCACUUCCUUAUUAUAAUCCUCCUUGUGUGUGGCAUGGCAUUCUGCCUCUCAGUAGAAUUAUAUCAAUGUGCUUAAACUCAGUAUAACCAGGACAAACCAUAUAUACAUGCCAGAUACUGUGUAGGUAGUGUAAAAUCUUUUUGUGUUACUUUCAUAGAAUCAAGUAAUUUUCAUGGCUAUGAACCGGAUAACUACAUAUAUGUCAAACCUCCUACCACACAAAAGUAGCCACUUUUAUUUUUGUGAUAGAGCAGAAAACUUAAAUCCCUAUUUUCUGGAUUACUGUGCUCUAGGAAUUGAGAUUAAUCCUGUGUGUGUGUGUGUGUGUAUGUAUACAUAUCUACAUGCAUGUACACACACACAUACACACACAAAUAUAUAUAUAUAGUAGAGUGCAUUCUGAAAAAAGGCUGAGUCUCUACUGAUAGUCCAUGGCUUUUUGAUCCUAUAAUAGCUUGACUAUUCAAUCAUUUCAGGGAGAAGGGUUAAGCUUUCAAACUGAAUGCUUACAUUUUUUCCACUUGCUUGCUUUUUCAAACAUUUGUCAUUAGGAUCAUAGCUAGGACCUAAGCAACCAUAUUUCCAAAGGAUUUCUCACAAACCCACUUUCUGUUUCCAGAAUCACUGUAUGGUUUCAUACUCCUACAAGCUUUCUUCCCCAUGCUACAUAUUGAAGAUUCUUAGUGGCUUUGUGUAUGACAGAUGGAAAUAA